UACGAAGGGGGCUAGCGCUGUUCGGAAUUACUGGGCGUAAAGGGCGCGUAGGCGGCCUGCUAAGUCGAACGUGAAAUCCCCGAGCUCAACUCGGGAACUGCGUCCGAUACUGGCAGGCUUGAAUCCGGGAGAGGGAUGCGGAAUUCCAGGUGUAGCGGUGAAAUGCGUAGAUAUCUGGAGGAACACCGGUGGCGAAGGCGGCAUCCUGGACCGGUAUUGACACUGAGGCGCGAAAGCCAGGGGAGCAAACGGG
rnacentral:rRNA from 1 species